rnacentral:rRNA from 1 species
GCUUAACACAUGCAAGUCAAGGGGGCCCAGCAAUGGGCAACCGGCGAACGGGUGCGUAACACGUGAGCAACCUACCGAACUGUGGGGGAUAGCCGGCCUAACGGCCGAGUAAUACCGCAUACGCUUUCAUUGAGGCAUUUCAGUGAAAGGAAACCUACGGGACAGAUCGAGGGGCUCGCGGCCUAUCAGCUAGUUGGCGAGGUAACGGCUCACCAAGGCAACGACGGGUAGCUGGUCUGAGAGGAUGGCCAGCCACAUUGGGACUGAGAUACGGCCCAGACUCCUACGGGAGGCAGCAGUGGGGAAUCUUGCGCAAUGGCCUAACGGCUGACGCAGCGACGCCGCGUGUGGGAUGAAGCUCUUCGGAGUGUAAACCACUGUUGCCCAGGACGAACAGCUCGAUUUCUCGAGCCUGACGGUACCGGGUGAGGAAGCACCGGCUAACUCCGUGCCAGCAGCCGCGGUAAUACGGGGGGUGCGAGCGUUGUCCGGAAUCACUGGGCGUAAAGGGCGCGUAGGUGGUUUGAUAAGGGUGUGGUGAAAGUCCGGGGCUCAACCCCGGAUCUGCCGUGCCGACUGUCAAACUCGAGGACUGUUGAGGCAGGCGGAAUUCCGGGUGUAGCGGUGGAAUGCGUAGAGAUCCGGAGGAAGACCGGUGGCGAAGGCGGCCUGCUGGGCA